GAUGAAGAACGCAGCAAAAUGCGAUAAGUAAUGUGAAUUGCAGAAUUCAGUGAAUCAUCGAAUCUUUGAACGCACCUUGCACCCUUUGGCAUUCUGAAGGGUAUGCUCGUUUGAGUGUCAUUGUACUCUCACACUCCCGAUCUUUGCAUUGGGAGCAGUGGACUUGGGUUUGCUGCUUCACCGUCGCUUACCUCAAAUAGGUUAGUGCAACUCUUGGUUGGACAUAGUACGGCGUGAUAAGUGUUCUUCGCCGGUGCCUCGCAAAGAGGGUGGCCGAUCGGGAUGUUGUGCUCCAAACCGUCUUCGGACAAUCUCUGACGACUUGACCUCAAAUCGAGUAAGACUACCCGCUGAACUUAAGCAUAUCAAUAAGCGGAGGA
rnacentral:misc_RNA from 1 species